rnacentral:rRNA from 1 species
CACGUAGUUAGCCGUGGCUUUCUCAUAAGGUACCGUCAAUUGAUAGUCAUUUCCUCCUAUCACCUUUCUUCCCUUAUAACAGAAUUUUACAACCCGAAGGCCUUCUUCAUUCACGCGGCGUUGCUCGGUCAGGCUUUCGCCCCAUUGCCGAAGAUUCCCUACUGCUGCCUCCCGUAGGAGUCUGGGCCGUGUCUCAGUCCCAGUGUGGCCGUUCACCCUCUCAGGUCGGCUACGCAUCGUCGCCUUGGUAGGCCUUUACCCCACCAACUAGCUAAUGCGCCGCAGGCUCAUCCAUCAGUGAUGCCAGGAGCAUCUUUAAACUUUCGUCCUAUCCGGUAUUAGCGAUCGUUUCCAAUCGUUGUCCCCGUCUGAUGGGCAGAUCACCUACGUGUUACUCACCCGUUCGCCGCUUCCCACCGAAGUGGUUCGCUCGACUUGCAUGUAUUAGGCACGCCGCCAGCGUUCAUCCUGAGCCAGGAUCAAACUC